rnacentral:ribozyme from 1 species
UGCCCAGUAAUUCCUAAUCCCUACCUCCUCGCGGUACCGGCCGGAAACUAUGAGCAACCUUAGGGAAGAUCGGGUAACCAACCCCGGUGGGAACUUUGGUCAUAGGCUGACAGGGAAGG